UAUUCUGUAGAGUCUGCAUAUCAAUAAGCGGAGGAAAAGAAACUAACAAGGAUUCCCUUAGUAACGGCGAGUGAAGCGGGAAGAGCUCAAAUUUGAAAUCUUCAAGGUUUUACCUUGACGAAUUGUAGUUUAAAGAAGUGUUUUCUGUUGAAGUUUUGGUAAAAGUUCUUUGGAAUAGGACAUCAUAGAGGGUGAGAAUCCCGUAUUUGACCAUUAUUUUCAGCUGUGUGAUACACUUUCAAAGAGUCGGAUUGUUUGGGAAUGCAGUCCAAAAUGGGUGGUAAAUUUCAUCUAAAGCUAAAUAUUGGCGAGAGACCGAUAGCGAACAAGUACCGUGAGGGAAAGAUGAAAAGAACUUUGAAAAGAGAGUUAAACAGUACGUGAAAUUGUCAAAAGGGAAGCGUUUGACACCAGUGUUGUUUUCUCGAAAAUCAAUUAAAAAAGGCCUGAUUUUGUGUUGUAUUGACCUUAAAAGCUUUCUGCACUCUUUUCAUUGUCUUUUUUAAUGCACUUUUCGUUUAACAAGUCAACAUCAGUUUCUUUUGUUGUAAAAGGGUCAUUGGAAGGUGGCUUUCUUUUCGGAGAAAGUGUUUAUAGCCUUUGAUCUCUGCAAUCCGGAGAGGCUGAGGUCUGCAGCGUAGACUCCUUCUGGGAUUAGAUACAUUUGUGCUAAGCUAUAGCUUUUUAUAGACAACUUGUUGACUAUAUUUAGUCUUGUGGCUUACUCGCUUAUGCUAUUUUACCUACGCUUAGGAUGUUGAACGCGCACAGAGUCUC
rnacentral:rRNA from 1 species